rnacentral:tRNA from 1 species
AGGGUUGUUGUUCAGUGAUAGAGCACUUACCUCAAAUGUAUGAAGCACUGAGUUCAAUUCUCAGCACCACAU